UAUCUACCCUUUGGCCUGGAAUAACACGAGGAAACUUGUGCUAAUACCGGAUAAGUCUUUACGGAGAAAGCUUUAUGCACCAUUGGAUGAGCCUGCACUUGAUUAGUUUGUUGGUGGGGUAAUGGCCUACCAAGACUGUGAUCAAUAGCCGAUUUGAGAGGAUGAUCAGCCACAUUGGGACUGAGACACGGCCCAAACUCCUACGGGAGGCAGCAGUGGGGAAUCUUGCACAAUGGAGGAAACUCUGAUGCAGCGAUGCCGCGUGAGUGAAGAAGGCCUUUGGGUUGUAAAGCUCUUUCGUCGGGGAAGAAAAUGACUGUACCCGAAUAAGAAGGUCCGGCUAACUUCGUGCCAGCAGCCGCGGUAAUACGAAGGGACCUAGCGU
rnacentral:rRNA from 1 species